rnacentral:rRNA from 1 species
GAGUUUGAUCAUGGCUCAGGAUGAACGCCGGCGGUGUGCCUAAUACAUGCAAGUCGUACGCACUGGCCCAACUGGUUGAUGGUGCUUGCACCUGAUCGACGAUGGAUCACCAGUGAGUGGCGGACGGUGAGUAACACGUAGGUAACCUGCCCUGUACAGGGGAGUAACAAUCAGAAAUAGACUGCUAAUACCGCAUAAGACCACCAGCACCGCAUGGUGCAGGGGUAAAAACGUACCGGUGGUACAGGAUGGACCCGCGUCUGAUUAGCUGGUUGGUGAGGUAACGGCUCACCAAGGCGACGAUCAGUAGCCGGCUUGAGAGAGUGAACGGCCACAUUGGGACUGAGACACGGCCCAAACUCCU